GGCCGCCCAUGGUCAGGGGAAUUUAUUGCGAAGGGUAGUGGGGUAGACUCGUGGCUAUUGUCAUAGCCUGCCACGUAGGGCCUGUUGCAGAUAGUGGAGCGGCAUCCGUUGCCGCUAGUUGUUAGCGAGUAGUGGGAUCGUGCAGCACCUGCCGCAGGGAGCGGAGCAAAAUCGUGGCCGUUUGGAACAGCCUGUCAGAGAGUAAUGGGUCCGCCGCAGGGGGUGAUGGAGCCGCGCAGAAUCCGCUACAGGAAGUGGAACAGGAUCAUGGUUGUUAUUGUGAUCUGCCAAGGGGCGCGGAUCUGUUGAUCGAGGCUC
rnacentral:lncRNA from 1 species